rnacentral:rRNA from 1 species
AUUGAACGCUGGCGGCAGGCCUAACACAUGCAAGUCGAGCGAGCGGCGGACGGGUGCGUAAUGUAUGGGGACUGCACGAUAGAGGGGGAUACCUACUGGCAACGGUAGCUAAUACCGCAUACUAUCGGAUAACCCAUAUGGGAUUAGCUAGUAGGUGAGGUAAUGGCUCACCUAUGCGACGAUCCCUAGCUGGUCUGAGAGGAUGAUCAGCCACACUGGGACGGAGACACGGACCAGACUCCUACGGAGGCAGCAGUGGGGAAUAUUGCCCAAUGGGCGCAAGCCUGAUGCAGCCAUGCCGCGUGUAUGAAGAAGGCCCUAGGGUUGUAAAGUACUUUCAGUCGGGAGGCGGUACCGACAUAAGAAGCACCGGCUAACUCCGUUCCAGCAGCCGCGGUAAUAC